rnacentral:rRNA from 1 species
AUGGCGGGGAGGACGAGGUACGACAACCCUUUCGAGGAGAGCGGUGGCGACGAGGUCAACCCUUUCGCGGACAAGGCUACAAGAGAAGCACUGGCUGCUCAAUCCGGUUAUUCCGGCGGUUCACUCUAUGCAACGCAACCACGGCCUAGUCCUCCUAGCAGCACCCGCCUUUCGCCUCUUCCUCCAGAGCCAGCUGACUUCUACAAUGACUUUGCCUCCACACACACAAACAAGGACAUGAAGAUAAUGGAGAAGGAGCUUCUGGCGAAGGAGGCUGAGUUAAGCAGGCGAGAGAAGGAAAUUAGAAGAAGGGAAGAAGCUGCAGCACGAGCUGGCGUUGUCAUAGAAGAGAAAAAUUGGCCUCCAUUUUUUCCCAUCAUUCAUCAUGAUAUCAAUAAUGAGAUACCCGUGCAUCUUCAAAGAACACAAUAUGUUGCCUUUGCAUCACUUUUGGGAUUGAUCAUUUUCCUAUUUUGGAACAUCGUCUGUGUUACCGCUGCUUGGAUUAAAGGGGAAGGUCCCAAGAUCUGGUUUCUUGCGGUCAUCUACUUUAUUCUUGGUUGCCCAGGUGCCUACUAUCUGUGGUACCGACCACUUUACCGGGCCAUGAGGAAUGAUAGUGCUUUGAAAUUUGGAUGGUUUUUUCUAUUUUACUUGGUUCAUAUUGCUUUCUGUGUGUAUGCAGCUAUUUCUCCUUCAAUUCUGUUUGUGGGAAAAUCACUAACAGGGAUUUUCCCAUCGAUCAGCUUGAUAGGGAAGAGCGUCAUAGUGGGGGUGUUCUACUUUCUUGGCUUCGCAAUGUUUUUCCUCGAGUCAUCACUAAGCAUGUGGGUCAUUCAGCGCGUGUAUCACUAUUUUCGAGGAAGUGGGAAAGAAGCACAUAUGAGGCAUGAGGCAGCACGCGCCACAGCUAGGGCAGCAUUUUGA